CUAUUCUCUACAAAGGCUCAAGCAUAAUCUUAUAUGGUCAGUCCCAGACAAUACCGAGUGGCACAAUUGUGGAGUUAUGGUCGUUGGACUCGGAGGCCCAGCAGUCUUCCCAGCCAUCUCAUCAUCCACAAACUCAGUCGUUGCUGUUACAGUUUGCUUCUGUGUCACGGACUCCUUUUGAGGAUAUGGCAAAUGAGUCGACAACAUGGAAGGAAAUCAAGAUCGUCUCUUCUCCUACAAGCAGGAAGCAACCGGUACACGAGAUCAACAUGAGCAGCACGAAGAAACAAGGACCUGGUUCGGGUGAAAGAAGCAGAGAAGGGAUGAGUGCUUCAAAAGCAAGAGCUGAACCAGUGUCCAUUCAUGGCAGUAGAGCAAAAGCAUCAUCAAUUCUUAUGCAAUGGGCACAAGUUUGUGUCAGGUCAAUUCUGUUGCUAGUGAGCCAAGGCAAUUUCUCAGUUUUUAUUUGGGAUCCUAGGGGUCAUGCGAAGAACAGCUUGGGAACAAGCUGUAUUUCAAGGAGUGGGGAAUGUUAGCAACAAUACAAGAAAGACGUCAGAAGCUCACCAGCACUGAAGAUGGAGCACUGAAGAUGGAAAAGCUGACCAACAAUAUUGACGGUGUCACACCAACGAAGCGGUAGAGGCGAGGCAACACAUGAGUAUUUGGGCCCGAAUGGGUCGUGUAUUUGGUCGGACUGGUCGGUAGUUUAUAAGCUCUCUCUAGUAUUGUAAGAAGGUAUCGAAGAAUUAAUGAAUAGACAAAGACGCUGGUUCUCAGCCUCGUCUUCCUCCCUGCUUUCCUCGUUUCCAAGUCUUCUUCCCCAAUCCUCACUCCUUCCUGCUCUCUUCUAGAAGCUUCCCACUACCGACGCUAACAUUUGGUAUCAGAUUAGGUCGUCCUGAAUUCGUUCUCCCGAGGCGCCCCCGAUUGUCCGCGAUGGAUCAUCAAGAUGCUACCGUCCUCAAGCUGCUUGAUGCAAUGGUACUGAUGGAGCAGCGCUUAAUAGCUGCUCUGGCUGGCCGUAAUGGCGAGCAGGCCGACGCGGAAAAGCUGACCAACAAUACUGACGGUGUGUCGGUGUCACACCGACGAAGCGGUAGAGGCGAGGCAACACAUGAGUAUUUGGGCCCGAAUGGGUCGUGUAUUUGGCCGGACUGGUCAGUAGUUUAUAAGCUCUCUCUAGUAUUGUAAGAAGGUAUCGAAGAAUUAAUGAACAGACAAAGACGCUGGUUCUCAACCUCGUCUUCCUCCCUGCUUUCCUCGUUUCCAAGUCUUCUUCCCCAAUCCUCACUCCUUCCUGCUCUCUUCUAGAAGCUUCCCACUACCGACGCUAACAAGCACGAGCUGCUCAAGGAGGCGCUCGACGGCCUC
rnacentral:lncRNA from 1 species